ACAGAUUGUGAUUCAAUAGGGCUGAGGGCCCAAGACUGCAUUUCCAGCCAGCUCCAAAGUAAUGCUGAUAACCACAGUGAGCACCAAAGCCAAAUGCCAAAAACCAAAAAGGAUGGCAAGAAUCAACCACAGGGGACAUCAGAGGACCACAGGUGGAGGAGAAGAGGCGAAAGUGGAAGCAACACAGCUGGAAAUGCUGGGACGUGCAGCAUUCUAUACUGCAAGUAGGCCCCAUGAAACAACCCUAAGGCAAGAAAGCAUCCACUAUGCUCAGAGAACAGCAAGGUGGCCCAGUUGGGUAGAGCAGAGUGACCUGUAGGAAGAAUAAUGGAUGUCAGGAGGAUUACUCUGGAUGCUAUGCUGAGAAGAAACUGAAGACAAUGGUGGAAGUGGGAAAGCUUAUGACUCAGAAUAACUAUUUCUAAUAACAAAUUUUAAGUUCUCUUCAUGGUAUUAAGAAGAGAGAAAGAAUCUGAGAAAUUAUGGCGUACUCAACUGUGGACAGCUGAAAGUCUGGCAUAGCGUGCCCUCAUCAUCACAAAUGGGCUCGCAUUACAAGCUACACUUAUUUGACAACUAUCAGCAUUUGUCAACCGGCACUCAGAUUUGAAGACUCAUUUCACAGCUGGAGCAAGAGAAGACAGGAAGGAAAAAUCAGAGUAAGGUUUCAAUGAGUUUCUGCAAAUUCUCAGAAGUUUUGCUGCCACUCAGUGUCACAAUAACAAAAAGAAAUAAAAAUAGCUGAUAUUUACUAAACAUCUACUCUGUGCCAUUUUAAGUGCUUUACAUAUAUCGGCUCAUUAAAUUUUAACAACCACAUAAGGUAGGUACUAUUGAUAGUUCCCAGUUUAUACA
rnacentral:lncRNA from 1 species